rnacentral:rRNA from 1 species
AGGCGGCUCAGUAAGUCGGGUGUGAAACCCCCAGGCUCAACCUGGGGACGCCACCCGAUACUGCUGUGGCUAGAGUACGGUAGAGGGUGGCGGAAUUCCUGGUGUAGCAGUGAAAUGCGUAGAUAUCAGGAGGAACAUCCGUGGCGAAGGCGGCCACCUGGACCAGUACUGACACUGAGGCACGAAAGCGUGGGGAGCAAACAG